rnacentral:rRNA from 1 species
UGGAUCCAGACUUUGAUCCUGGCUCAGGACGAACGCUGGCGGCGUGCCUAACACAUGCAAGUCGAACGGAACUUUUUCAGAAGAUUCUUUCGGGAUGAUUUUGGUUAAGUUUAGUGGCGGACGGGUGAGUAACGCGUGAGUAACCUGCCUUUGAGAGGGGAAUAACAAUCUGAAAAGAUUGCUAAUACCGCAUAACAUAUACGAAUCGCAUGGUUUGUAUAUCAAAGAUUUUAUCGCUCAAAGAUGGACUCGCGUCCGAUUAGUUAGUUGGUGAGGUAACGGCUCACCAAGACCGCGAUCGGUAGCCGGACUGAGAGGUUGAACGGCCACAUUGGGACUGAGACACGGCCCAGACUCCUACGGGAGGCAGCAGUGGGGGAUAUUGCGCAAUGGGGGCAACCCUGACGCAGCAACGCCGCGUGAAGGAUGAAGGUUUUCGGAUUGUAAACUUCUUUUAUUAAGGACGAAUAAUGACGGUACUUAAUGAAUAAGCUCCGGCUAACUACGUGCCAGCAGCCGCGGUAAUACGUAGGGAGCAAGCGUUGUCCGGAUUUACUGGGUGUAAAGGGUGCGUAGGCGGCUUUGCAAGUCAGAUGUGAAAUCUAUGGGCUCAACCCAUAAACUGCAUUUGAAACUGUAGAGCUUGAGUGAAGUAGAGGCAGGCGGAAUUCCCCGUGUAGCGGUGAAAUGCGUAGAGAUGGGGAGGAACACCAGUGGCGAAGGCGGCCUGCUGGGCUUUAACUGACGCUGAGGCACGAAAGCGUGGGUAGCAAACAGGAUUAGAUACCCUGGUAGUCCACGCUGUAAACGAUGAUUACUAGGUGUGGGGGGUCUGACCCCUUCCGUGCCGGAGUUAACACAAUAAGUAAUCCACCUGGGGAGUACGGCCGCAAGGUUGCAACUCAAAGGAAUUGACGGA